rnacentral:lncRNA from 1 species
UCUCAGACCUAUGAAUGGGGAUAUUCCCGAAACUCACAAAGAAAAAAGGAAGUGAGUUAGACAAAAAGAAAAGAAAACUUGGACAAAAAGAAAGGAAGUGGCUUAGACAAAUCUUUUUUGUCGAUAACUUCAGACCAAUCAAUCGAAUAUUGAUUAAUACGUAAUCGAUCGAACACUACUUGAAAACGGCUCUUCUGCUCAGAAACGAAAAUGUUUCAAAUGCUCCUGGAAAUUCUUGCUCCCAUUGGACCAUUUGUAAUCUAUAUGCAUUAGGAUCCCGAUUCAUGAAUCUCUCGGUUCGAGAAAUCAAAAUCAGAGGAGCGAACCAUUUCUUCUGACUCUUUUCAAAUUCGAUAAAUGUUGGUUGAUCGUAUAUUUCAUUAUAGUUCUAUGAUUCAGAGUAUCAUUUCCUAUUUGAUCCUGUGAAUUCCAUAUUCGAAGUUGCGAUCGGAUCUAUUCAUUAAAAAGAAUCGAUUCAAUACAUUUCUUAUGUACCCAUAGGUGCUAUAUUGGAUUUGAAUCCGAUUUCGGAUCAAUCUAGAUUGAUUGACUGCCUCCAUUAUGUUGUUGCUAGCAAAUACCACUAUUUUUGGUUUUGGAUCUUCCAAAUCAUUCCCGCAGGAGAUCCGGACCCAUUUUUUUCUGAUCCUUCGAUAAAAAGAUUCAUUCUCUUCAUAAAAAAUAGGAGGUAGAACCAAAAAGAUUUCUUUUUCGAUUCAUUCCUGGAGUUGAAUACCUCAUUCAAGAAUUGUUUUUGCUCCAAUCCGUAGGAAAAAAUAGAAAAGGCAAAUCCCUUAUGAUACACCAGAUCCGGCUCGGUUAUUGAUAGAGUGANNNNNUUAAUUAAUUAANNNNNGUUUCUUCUUUGAUAAACUAGAACCUUGUAAUGGUUGUAACUAAAUAGUUCUAACUUCACUCCAGGGAACAACUCAAAAAGGGUUUCUUUCUUUUUUUUUUUCAUUUUUUAGAACUUUUUGUUUGUGUUGUCGUAAUUUUAGGUUUUUUCUUUUUUUUUUUUCACUAUUAAUUUGUCCUAGGAUUGAUCAAAUCAAUUAGGUAUUGGGCUGCACGUAUUAUAGAAAAUAAAAAAAAAAAAUUCUUAUUGUUUAUGGUGGGGUGAUGGGGAAAAUAAGAAUCCCCAUCCUGGGAAUAAAAAAAUAGUAAAAUAAAAAGAAAGGUGAAACUUUCUAGUUUGUCUUGAUUCCGUUUUCAAAUAAAAAAAAAAAAGGACUUUUUUUUUUUAUUUAUUUAUUUUUAUUUUCGAAUUCAGUAGACAAAUCAAUUGGUUCAAAACAUUACAAAAGGGAAUGUUUACUUACUUUUUCGAUUUUUCUAAAUUCUAUAGUAUAAAUUCGAAACACAAUUAACUCAUUUUUGUGUCUGGGGGAUUCAGAUUAUUUCAACCUUUGAAGAUUAUUUCAACCUUUGAUUAUUUAUUUGUUGUACAAAAAAAACUUUUUGAAUUCCCAGUAGCAAGGGAUUUCGCUAACGAAAAAGCCUUCAACGCUGCCCAGUACCCCCCUUUUUCCAAAGAUUUUUACGAAUACGUUUUUUUAAUAUAGAAGUACGUUUUUUUGGAACUGCCAUUCAAAAAAGAAAAGGUUAGUCAUUGAUCAAAUUGGAUGUGAAAGACAUCUAUUGUUAAAAUGUUAAAACAAAUCAUUUUUUAGUUUUACGGUUCAUUUCAUUAUCUGUUUAUUUUUUUUAUACACUAACUACCUUUAGAAAAAAGAAAUAAAUCGAAAUAUGCAAAAAUGGCAUAAAAUCUUACUAGAACAAAAAAGAAAUAAAUAAAUAAAUGGAAUAAGGGAUUUUUUCAAUUUAUAUUCCCUAAAUAUUGGAGAAUAAAGGAAUUCGUAUUCCGGAGUUAUUGGCGGCACCCUUAGAUACCUAUUCAAAUCGAUAUCUAUAGGACGGAUUGGGCCAUAUAACAGAAAUAGAAUUGGUUGAAGUUGAUAAAAAAAAGAAAAAGCCCUUCCGCCCUUAUCUCUGUCUAUUUUCGGCCUGCUACAUUUAUCCAUGAAAAAUACAUCGAACAGGUUUUAUCUACCCAACCAUUUUUGUCUAGUAAUUGGUUAUUAAAUGUCUUUUUUUAUAAUUAAAUGUCUUUUAUUAUAAUUAUAAUAGUAGACAAUCAAUACGUGCCGAGAUGAACUAGUUAAUGGUUGUGAAUAAACAAAGAAUAAAAAAACUAAUUCGUAUUUUAUUGGGGAACGGUAGGGGUCAGCCUAUGAUUUAUAUCAAAUUUAAUUUUGUGUAAUUCUUUCGUCUUGAUCUAUGGACAUAAAUUAGUGUAAUUAGAGAAUAAUAAGUGAAGUUUGAAUUUGCUCUAUCUUCCUAAAAAUCUUACGUAGUAUAAAGUAGAAAAUAAUUAUUUAUUUUUGACUAGUAGCUUAGUUAGAACAUUUGAUUGUUUUUAACUCUUCAUUUUUUUGAAGUUGGUGGGAAAGAUUCAAAAUAACUAUGAAUAGAAAAAGCGAAUUUUAUUUAAGUUUUUCAUUUUAAUACCUUAACCUUAAUUUUUUUAUUAAUCCCUUUUCAGUUUAAAAGAGAUAAGAACCGGUGAAUCAGAAACACUGAAUUAAGAAUAAAAAACAAUUAUUAUUACUUUAUUGAUUUUAUGGAACAUACAUAUCAAUAUUCCUGGAUCAUACCUUUAGUUCCACUUCCAGUCCCUAUGUUAAUAGGGGUGGGACUUCUAUUUUUUCCGACCGCAACAAAAAAUCUUCGCCGUAUGUGGGCUUUUAUUAGUAUUUUAUUGUUAAGUAUAGUUAUGAUUUUUUCGAUCGAUCUAUCUAUUGAGCAAAUAGAUAGAACUUCGAUCUAUCAAUCCCUAAGGACUUGGACCAUCACUAGUGAUUUGUCUUUCGAGUUCGGAUACUUUAUUGAUCCACUUACUUCUAUUAUGUCAAUAUUAAUCACUACAGUUGGAAUUCUGGUUCUUAUUUAUAGUGACAAUUAUAUGUCUCAUGAUCAAGGAUAUUUGAGAUUUUUUGCUUAUAUGAGUUUUUUCAAUGCUUCAAUGUUAGGAUUAGUUACAAGUUCGAAUUUCAUACAAAUUUAUAUUUUUUGGGAAUUGGUUGGAAUGUGCUCUUAUCUAUUAAUCGGGUUUUGGUUCACACGACCUAUUGCGGCAGGCGCCUGUCAAAAAGCAUUUGUAACUAAUCGUGUAGGGGAUUUUGGAUUAUUAUUAGGGAUCUUAGGUCUUUAUUGGCUAACAGGCAGUUUCGAAUUUCGGGAUUUGUUCGAAAUAUUGAAAAACUUGAUUUAUAAUAAUGAGGUUAACCUUUUAUUUGUUACUUUGUGUGCAUUUCUAUUAUUUGCCGGCCCGGUUGCUAAAUCCGCGCAAUUCCCUCUUCAUGUAUGGUUACCCGAUGCCAUGGAAGGGCCUACUCCUAUUUCGGCUCUUAUCCAUGCUGCUACUAUGGUAGCGGCGGGAAUUUUUCUUGUAGCUCGGCUUCUUCCACUUUUCAUAGUCAUACCAUACGCAAUGAAUCUAAUAUCUUUGAUAGGGAUAAUAACAGUAUUUUUAGGAGCUACUUUAGCUCUUGCUCAACAAGAUAUUAAGAGAGGUUUAGCUUAUUCUACAAUGUCUCAAUUGGGUUAUAUGAUGUUAGCUCUAGGUAUGGGGUCUUAUCGAGCCGCUUUAUUUCAUUUGAUUACUCAUGCCUAUUCCAAAGCCUUGUUGUUUUUAGGAUCCGGAUCAAUUAUUCAUUCAAUGGAAGCUAUUGUUGGAUAUUUUCCAGAUAAAAGCCAGAAUAUGGUUCUUAUGGGUGGGUUAAGAAAGCAUGUGCCGAUUACAAAAACCGCUUUUUUAGUAGGUACUCUUUCUCUUUGUGGUAUUCCACCUCUCGCCUGUUUUUGGUCCAAGGAUGAAAUUCUUAAUGAUACUUGGUUGUAUUCGCCGAUUUUCGCAACAAUAGCUUUUUUCACAGCCGGAUUAACCGCAUUUUAUAUGUUUCGAAUUUAUUUACUUACUUUUGAGGGGCCUUUCAACUUUUGCUUGCAAAAAUUACAGUGGCAAAAAAAAGAAAAUUCCUUAUAUUCAAUAUCUCUAUGGGGUAAAGAAGAACCAAAACCGAUUAAAAACAAAUUUCAUUUAGUUGCUUUAUUAACAAUGAAUAAUAAUAAAAGGGCUUCUUUUUUUUGCGAAAGAAGACUCAUCGAAUUGCUAGUACUGUAACAAAUAUGCCCUUUAUUACUAUUUUUCCUUUUGGCGCUGCCAAGACUUUUUGUUAUCCUCACGAAUCAGACAAUACUAUAUUAUUUGUUAUGCUUGUAUUAGUCCUAUUUCCUUUGUUUGUUGGAGCGAUAGGAAUUCCUUUGAAUCAAGAAGUAAUCGAGUCGGAUAUUUUAUCAAAAUUGUUAACUCCAUCUAUAAAUCUGUUACAACAAAAUUCAACUCAUUUUGUUGAUUGGUAUGAAGUUGUAAAAAAUCCAACCCUUUCCGUCAGUAUAACGUAUUUUGGAAUACUUCUAGCCUACUUUUUAUAUAAACCCUUUUAUUCAUCUUUACACAAUUGGAACAUAUUGAAUUUUUUUUGCUAAAAGAGGACCUAAGAGAAUUCUUUGGGACAAAAUACUCAAUUUUCUAUAUGAUUGGUCAUAUAAUCGUGCUUAUAUAGAUGCUUUUUACACAAGAUCCUUAACAGAAGGGAUAAGAGGAUUAGCGGAACUAACUCAUUUGUUCGACAGACGAGUAAUUGAUGGAAUUACGAAUGGGGUUGGUAUUACAAGUUUUUUUGUAGGGGAAGGUAUAAAAUAUUUAGGGGGAAGUCGCAUCUCUUUUUAUCUCUUAUUAUAUUUAUUUUCGUUAUUAUUCUUUUUAAUAUUUCUCUUCUUUUUUUUCUUUAAAUAAUUGAAAUAUUUCGAAUUUCGAAUUUUCUUGAUUCCCAUCCAGAUAAGAAGUUUCAUAAACAGGGCUAUUUUUAUCGCAUGUCUCUUUAAAGCGCAAGUGGAAUUCAUGCUUUGUUUUUUUUUUUCCUUUCCAUUCACUCGGA